ensembl:snoRNA
UGGAUCAAUGAUGCGUCUUGGUGGAGGUAUCUGAAUCCAUAACUUUGAUUACGCCCUCAGUGUAGCUCUGGGGUCCAU